rnacentral:rRNA from 1 species
AACGAACGCUGGCGGCAUGCCUAACACAAGCAUGUCUAACGAGAUCUUCGGGUCUAGUGGCGCACGGGUGCGUAACGCGUGGGAAUCUGCCCUUUGGUUCGGAAUAACAGUUGGAAACGACUGCUAAUACCGGAUGAUGACGAAAGUCCAAAGAUUUAUCGCCAGAGGAUGAGCCGGCGUAGGAUUAGCUAGUUGGUGUGGUAAAGGCGCACCAAGGCGACGAUCCUUAGCUGGUCUGAGAGGAUGAUCAGCCACACUGGGACUGAAACACGGCCCAGUCUCCUACGGGAGGCAGCAGUGGGGAAUAUGGGGCAAUGGGCGAAAGCCUGGUCCAGCAAUGCCGCGUGAGUGAUGAAGGCCUUAGGGUUGUAAAGCUCUUUUAACAGGGAUGAUAAUGACAGUACCGGGAGAAUAAGCUCCGGCUAAGUCCGUGCCAGCAGCCGCCGUAA